UACGUAGGGGGCGAGCGUUGUCCGGAUUUACUGGGCGUAAAGGGUGCGUAGGCGGCCCUGCAAGUCAGAUGUCAAAGGCUUCGGCUUAACCGAGGUAAGCAUUUGAAACUGUAGGGCUUGAGUGCAGGAGAGGAGAGUGGAAUUCCUAGUGUAGCGGUGAAAUGCGUAGAUAUUAGGAGGAACACCAGUGGCGAAGGCGACUCUCUGGACUGUAACUGACGCUGAGGCACGAAAGCGUGGGGAGCAAACA
rnacentral:rRNA from 1 species